CUUUCCCACGCACACCACCGCUGUGUAAAGCACUGGAGCUGUCAGCACCCCCACACACUCGAGGGCCGUUUUCACCACACGCACACACAAAAAGAAGGAAACACGUGGCGCUGGAGCCGCAUCGUAGGCCGGGGGCGCAGUGACGGCACGCACGCACGCACGCAAGAUCCUCCGUUGCUCCUGCGCCUGCAUCAGCUCUCGCGUCUUUCCUUCCUCUGCCCCCCCCCCCCCCCCCUUCUCUCUUUCUGCUGUGCUCUGCGGGCCGUUGUCUUGCACGUCACGCUUGGCUGUGCAGAAGGUGCGCAUGCUGCCGUUUUCUUACCGCGUGCUCAUGCGCGGCGUAUCGGCGGUGGCCGGUGCGUCGUCCGUGGCUCUGCAGCAUCGCGCGCUGGCGGGGACGACGCGCUCGUUCAGCAGCAGCAGCCUGGUGUGGUUGGCGCCAUCCGCGCCGACAACGCAGACGCCGCCGGCGAUGGGCGGCGAUACGGACGCUGAGGAGACGCACCCUGAUUUUCAGCCCCGCAUGGUAUCCAGCGACCUCGCGCAGGACGAGAUCGCCAUGAUCAAGAAGGAUAUAGACGACACAAUCCGCGAUGAGGACAUUGUCGUGUUCAUCAAGGGCGUUCCGGAGGCGCCAAUGUGCGCCUUCUCGAAGCGCAUGAUUGACGUGAUGGAGGCGCUUGGGGUGGAGUACACCUCAUUCGACGUGCUCGCUCACCCGGUGGUGCGCAGCUACGUGAAGGAGGUGAGCGAGUGGCCGACGAUCCCGCAGUUGUUUGUGAAGGGUGAGUUUGCCGGCGGCGUCGACAUCAUCCUGAAGAUGGCGGAGGGCGGCGACUUGCAGAUGCUGCUGGAUCAGAAGGGCAUCAAGCAUCGUGAUACCAAACCGUAGCGGUCGGGUGUGCCUCUUUCCUCGCUGCUUUCGGGGCACGUACUCUCCACGUGGGUGCUUCUGUCAGCUGGCUCGCAGGUAGUGUGGUGUUUGUGUGUGUACGACACUCCCCCCGAAGCGGGUUUAAGGCGGACGUGUGAGCUUCUGUUCGAAUUUUGCUGUCUUGCAUGGUGACACGUGCGUGUGCGCGGGCAUGUUUGAUUGUUCAGGGUGCGCUCAUCUCCCUGAGCGAGUUGAGGCCACACAUGCCUUAAG
rnacentral:misc_RNA from 1 species